GUACUCGACAAUGGCAGCGCCCACGCCCACUCCCACGCCCAGCGCAGCUACUAUCCCUGCUAUCCACACUAAGACUCCAGUGACUGUCAAAGAAGGCACUGACGAGGGAGAGAGAGGGAGUAGAACAUGUCAAUCGAGCUCCCACUGUUGCAUUCCAGCCUAUGACGUCCACGUCGUAAGGUGUACGACAGGUUGCUGUGGCUGGGUCUCCGUACUUCACCACCAGACCGGGGGGGUCCACGAUGGGCUUCCCUGCGAUGCACUCCUGGUCUGGCCCCAAAACAAAAGACUUGGAUGCGGACACAGAAAGAGGGACUAUGAUGGAAGUGACGUCAUGUGGGUUAGGGUUCACUCGGACACAUGUAUUGUUGUCACUCUGAGUGAUAGACUUGAGAUGCCGACUCGCGGUCAGUUUGUAUGCAGCCAGCGAGGUAUGUUUGUGUAUUUAAGAUGCUUAAUUUAUUUGAUUUAUCUGCUCUUUUCAUUGUGUGAUUGAAUUGUCUAUUUAUUGUGUUUUUGCUUUUAAACAGUUUGACGGUGGACUAAAGAUGAAUUAAAGAAACAAAAUAAACCCAUCAGUAAUUGAA